rnacentral:tRNA from 1 species
GGGUACCUUGCUCAGGUGGAAGAGAGUCUGGUUUGCAAUUGGAAGGCCGGGGGUUCAAAUCCCCCAGCGUCCACCA